UACGUAGGGGGCAAGCGUUGUCCGGAAUUAUUGGGCGUAAAGAGCGUGUAGGCGGUCCGGUAAGUCGGCUGUGAAAGUCCAGGGCUCAACCCUGGGAUGCCGGUCGAUACUGCCGGACUAGAGUUCGGAAGAGGCGAGUGGAAUUCCCGGUGUGAGCGGUGAAAGUGCGCAGAUAUCGGGAGGAACACCUAUGGCGAAGGCAGCUGCGCUGGGACGUUACUGACGCUGAGACGCGAAGCGUGGGGAGCAAACAGG
rnacentral:rRNA from 1 species